rnacentral:rRNA from 1 species
AAAUCAACAAACCCACAUAAAUAACCCCUAAUAUCCUAAACCCGACCCCAAACAAAUCAUUUUUCCCCCUUAGUAUAGGCGAUAGAAAAGGAACCACGGAGCUACAGAAAAAGU